rnacentral:rRNA from 1 species
AACGAACGCUGGCGGCAUGCCUAACACAUGCAAGUCGAACGAGAUCUUCGGGUCUAGUGGCGCACGGGUGCGUAACGCGUGGGAAUCUGCCCUCUGGUUCGGAAUAACAGUUGGAAACGACUGCUAAUACCGGAUGAUGACGAAAGUCCAAAGAUUUAUCGCCAGAGGAUGAGCCCGCGUAGGAUUAGCUAGUUGGUGUGGUAAAGGCGCACCAAGGCGACGAUCCUUAGCUGGUCUGAGAGGAUGAUCAGCCACACUGGGACUGAGACACGGCCAGAAGUACUACGGGAGGCAGCAGUGGGGAAUAGUGGACAAUGGGCGAAAGGCUGAUCCAGCAAUGCCGCGUGAGUGAUGAAGGCCUUAGGGUUGUAAAGCUCUUUUACCCGGGAUGAUAAUGACAGUACCGGGAGAAUAAGCUCCGGCUAACUCCGUGCCAGCCGCCGCGGUAA